GACGAACGCUGGCGGCGUGCUUAACACAUGCAAGUCGAACGGGCUCUGUCUGGCUGUGUGCUGGGUGGGGUUAGUGGCGAACGGGUGAGUACUACUUGAGUAACCUGCCCUCUUCUUUGGGUUAAUCCUUGGAAACGGGGUCUAAUACUGGAUAUUCCUGUCUGGUCGCAUGUCUGGAUGGGGAGAGUUUUUUUCGGUGGGGGAUGGGCUCGCGGCCUCUCAGCUUGUUGGUGGGGUGAUGGCCUACGAAGGCGGCGACGGGUAGCCGGCCUGCGAGGGGGACCGGCCGCACUGAGACUGGGAUACGGCCCAGACUGGUACGGGAGGCAGCAGUGGGGGAUAGUGGCCAGUGGGCGCAAGCCUGAUGCAGCGACGCAGCGUGGGGGAUGACGGCUUUCGGGUUGUAUGCCUCUUUCGUCGGGGGACAAGGCUCUGCUUGGUGGUGGGGUUGAGGGUACCCGGUGAAGAAGCGCCGGCUAACUACGUG
rnacentral:rRNA from 1 species